AUUUCGUCCGAGUGACUAAAUAAUAGGACUUGUUUUUAGUUUUGUCUUAUUUUAUUUUUAUUUUUAUUUUUAUUUUAUUUUGUUUGCUAUUUGGUGUCUGGUUUAGUUUUUUUGUUGAUAAGCCUCUCCAUUGUGUGCGUGAAAUUGGAACUUGGAAGAGAAGGAAUUCCAGCAACCGGCAGCGGAAAAAGGAUGAGAUGUAGUGAGUGGCUGUGACGGCAGAGAAGGAGGUGGUGUGGUCCUAGCUUCAGGCAGCCUCCAUUGUUGGAAGAAAGCUAAGAGGUGGGAGAGAGUUGAGAGAAGAAGUGACUUUGGCAAGCAUUUGCUAAGUUGAGAAGAAUUGCAGAAUUUGCAGAAAUUUCUCAUAGAAUCCAAAGUAUUCAUACAAGCUAGGCCAAGAGAAUUUAUAGUUGAAUCUCUCGGCCUCCACCAAAGGAAAUCUCAGAUNCACUAUUUCAUCAUGUGUUAAAGAUGCUANN
rnacentral:lncRNA from 1 species